AUUGAAGAAGCCAAUUUUCUACCACAGGGAAAAAAUACAGUCAGAAAGGAACAAUAUUUCUCCCAUCAGCCUCUGUAGUUCUGGGCCUCCAGAACCAACUUACCAGUCGGUGAUUCUUUCUCAUCUCCCCUUGGGUCUGCACAGAAAAGGAGAACAAAGUGAUUAAGAUGGAGAAAACAACAAUGAAGAUAAUGAGAGGAAGCUCAAAAAAGAUAGCUCUCAAAAAGGGAAGAGGAGAAAGGAUACUAGGGGACACUAUGGAGAUGUAAAGAACUGAAUAAAAAACAUUUUGUCUACUCA